GUGGGACUAUCUCUCGGAGAAGAGCACUUUAUACAGGAUGCCAUUGUUCAAGACCUUCGUUCUGAUGAUCAAAAAAGAUUAACUUACUGUCCUAUUUAUGUCGAAUGGAUUUAUACCCCUGGUAUAACAUUCUUUUCAAAUACUUUGUUGAAAGAUAGACUGAUGCUGGAAAUUAAUUUCUUUUACAUCAGCAUUGACCUGCUUUCUUCGAGACAAACUGAACUUUUCUGCUGGUUUUUAUGUAUUUCAUGGACUUAAUGGCCGGCAACUGGUUCAGCAAGAAUCAGGUUGGGGGAAACAGAUUUUAUUUCCAGUGUGAAGGCUGAACUUGGAAGGCCGACUUUGUUGCAACCUGACAAAGGAAAGGUUGCCAUACAUGUUGAUUGCAGUCCAACGGCAGCACCAAUGUUUGAGGGUAGAGGGGGUGAGGAGUUGUCCACAGAACUCUCCAUUGCUCUUCAGUGUUGUCUCUUGGGUGCUAAAAGUGGAGCUGAUAUGAAUCUAAUGGGAGCUAGAGAAGUUACCACCAAUUUAUUGCCCUAUAUAUGCUUUCUAUCAUUUGGCAGUUCAUCCUCUGAUUUGUUUUUUGAUUAUAGAUUCUUGCUUUGCUUGAAUUGAAUAUCUUAUUUAAUAUUUCCCAGGAGCUGGAAUUGAUCUCUCGUCUCUAAUAGUUGUGAUGGGAAAAAUUUGCUGGGAUCUUUAUAUUGAUUGUCUUUAUAAACAAUUUUUUGCUAAUGUUAUUAGGGACUGCUAUACCCUGCUCAAAUUUUUACCCUCUAUUUUUUUGGUGCAUGGAGACUGCUAUGCCCUGCUCAGAUUCCUCAUUAUCAUUUAGUUUUUGAGCUUAAACUCUUAAGGUUUCUUGUUUUCCUCUCCUUAAAAAAAUAAUAGUGUGCCAUAUUGAGAUAAGUUGUAUUUAUUUAUGGAAAUUGAAUUAUCAGAAUAAUUUUUUUUUUUUUUGGUUAGCAAAAAAAAACCCUUAAUAAGAAUAAUUUUAGUUUCCAUUCCUUUCGGCUAAUGGAAUUAUUUUUGUUACUUGGGCUGGGUUGGACCAUAUCAAAAAUGGUCUAAGUAAUAUGCUCAGCCUUUUUAAUUGUCUCUUGUCUCUCAUUUUGAGGCUAAGCUAAUUGAAAUUGCAGUUCUCAUUUUCAGAAAUUGCAUCUGCAUGCCAUACGACACAAGCCAAUGGGUGCUGAAAUAUUAUUUCUAAAUUCUAAUUUAAAAAGUGACCAUUUUAUGCAUCUUUUGUGUAUUUUUUUAAGCCCCUAUCUUCUUCUUUCUCAAAAACUCUUAAGUGGACCUGCUGUAACUUGCAAGUCAACACAAGUUUUCACUUAAAAUAUUUUCUGUGAUAAUUCUGAAUUAUUUAUCCAAAAAAUUGUUGUAUGAUUUAUCUUUGCAGUAAUCAGACGAAGAUAAGCAGAUCUGUGUGUAGAAAUGCACAUUAUUUCAGCAGAUGAUGUCACUUGGGGUGCAUUGAUAAGUCUAGCACUUUUGUGUAGAGCACAAUAUAAGCUACACACUGUAGAGAUAUAGCCAAGCGUGAUAAGCCUGGAAAUUCA